AUUUUUCUGAUCUUACACUUCUGAUUUCUAAAUUUCAUUUUAAUCACUCAAGUGACGUGUAGAUAUUUUGAAUUAUUGGCCUGCCUCUAAGAAGUCUUGCACUGAUACUGAUAGUUCAGCGCUGUCACCUUUCCACCACCUGCGCCACGUACAGCGACAGAAGCUUUUCCUUAACUCUGCCAGAUGCUCAGGCUCAAUCUUCCCUGUGGACUUUUGGAUGUUUGGGUAAUGUGAAAGGUGGUUGUUUUCUUUAUUUGAUCAGGGCACAAGCAGUGUCUGGACUCACUUGGUCAGUUCUGGAUUUUUGUGGAAGGAAAACCCUCAUCAGAUUCUGAUGGGAGGGGUGAGGGUAGCUCCUGGGAAGAGAAGACAGACAGUUUUCAUUCUCACAAUGGCUGAGAUGUUCGAGAUGGGUGCCUCAGGUGCCCAGGUUCUGAGACGAUGCCCUUAGGUCCCUCGGGGUGUCCAUG
rnacentral:lncRNA from 1 species